rnacentral:rRNA from 1 species
AUGUACAAAGCUGGUGCAUAUCGGAGGGCCACAGGUGUACAACCCGCCCCCAAAGAGGUGAUUUGCCGAAGGCUCCAAGGAAAUUGCCGAAAUGCACGAACUGUGGGGUGGUUGGACAUCGUCGCAAUGCGUGUGGCACUAAGAAGAGCAGGCCGUUUGAGCCAAACUUCCUCUAGUUACAAUCUUCAUCGCAGUGAUGGUUUAUGUAGUCGGCUUUGCAAUAUUUGUGGCAACUAUUUCUAUUUUAUGAUGCACAUGUUUCAUUUGCUGCCCGUAUUAUCGAACCAGGUCUCCUUGCCAUGUUUUAGCUGA